rnacentral:rRNA from 1 species
GACGAACGCUGGCGGCGCGCUUAACACAUGCAAGUCGAACGGAAAGGCCUGCUUUCCCUUGUGGAUUGCGGGUACUCGAGUGGCGAACGGGUGAGUAACACGUGAGUGAUCUGCCCCCAACUUGGGUAUAAGCCUGGGAAACUGGGUCUAAUUCCCGAUAGGACUGCAGGGUGGUGCCUGUGGUGGAAAACGAUUUUCUAAUGGUUGGGGAUGAGCUCGCGGCCUAUCAGCUUGUUGGUGGGGUAAUGGCCUACCAAGGCGGCGACGGGUAGCCGGCCUGAGAGGGUGGACGGCCACAUGGGGACUGAGAUACGGCCCAGACUCCUACGGGAGGCAGCAGUGGGGAAUAUUGCACAAUGGGCGGAAGCCUGAUGCAGCGACGCCGCGUGGGGGAUGACGGCCUUCGGGUUGUAAACUCCUUUCGACCGCGAGGAAGCCACCUGGUUGGAAGGGUGGUGACGGUAGUGGUAGAAGAAGCACCGGCUAACUACGUG